UACGUAGGGGGCAAGCGUUGUCCGGAAUUAUUGGGCGUAAAGGGCGCGUAGGCGGCCUGUUAAGUCGGACGUGAAAUCCCUCGGCUCAACCGGGGAACUGCGUCCGAUACUGGCGGGCUUGAAUUCGGGAGAGGGAUGUGGAAUUCCAGGUGUAGCGGUGAAAUGCGUAGAUAUCUGGAGGAACACCGGUGGCGAAGGCGGCAUCCUGGACCGACAUUGACGCUGAGGCGCGAAAGCCAGGGGAGCAAACGGG
rnacentral:rRNA from 1 species